GUUUUGCAGAAAUAAACUCUGUUAAAUUUAAUUCUUUUAAAGUUUUUCUUCGAAUGAUUGCACUGGAGUAUAUGGUGAAAGAAUAUUGAAGUUUGAAGGAAGCAUCCUAAUUUUAAAAAUUGCGGAAUUACCUUUGAAGGGAAUUGAAAUCUUUGUUCAACGAAACACAAAAUGUUCUGGAGCCUGUAGAAAUCUUCAGAAGAAGUGUGCACCAGAGAUCUACCUCAACUCCCCAGAGGCCUGCACCUCAGAGUGAACACUGUCGUAUUCUGAGCUGGCUUCCUCCAGCGUUUCCUUUUUAAUCCAUAUAUGUGCUUACAUGUCUUUUUAUGAAGUUUAAGAGAUUUAUUAUGAUAUAAUCACUUCCUUAGCAACUUGGGACUACACUGAUGAGCAAGCAAGAUGGAAACAAGUCAUUAGCAUUUUAGUCCCAUGAGAAUGUGGAUUUUGUAGCACCCCAU
rnacentral:lncRNA from 10 species